GUGGCCUUGAACUCAUGGACCCAUGAGAUCAUAACCUGAGCUGAAGUCAGGCACUUAACCGACUGAGCCACCCAGGUGCCCCAUGAAUCUCAUUUUAAUAUUUCUUUUUGUACAUUGCAUUACUUCAAGAGGCCAUAUAUUUGCAAAGUGUGUAUCAACCACAGAUAUUUGUUGAGGCUUCUGUAUUCGUGGGCAGUGUGAAGAGGGGAUUUGUGCCAGAAAUGAACCUUUCAGGAUUUUAGAUGUUCCGUACUGUAAGCUAACUUAAAUCACAGAUAAAAUGUAUGUUUAUUGUUAGAAACUAAGCAUUCUCCUUCAGCAGAAGAAACGUUAUGGGAAACCUAAGGCAUAUUGUAAUUAGUUAUCUAUAAUGUAAACAACUUUCCACAUAGUGAUGGAAGCAUUUAUGUCUGGCUAAAACUACAACACUGAACAAUUUGGCUUUAUUUGUGUAAGUGUCCAAUUGAACAUAUUACUCUCAUUUUUGCCCUUGGUCUGUUAAUGAUCACUGUCUUGAAGUGGAUUAAAAUAACAUGGAGAGGCAAACUUGGAAAGCCCCGUGAUGUUCAACUAUGAGAAGCUGCUUCCCUCAGGGUUUGUACAAGGAACGAAUUAGACCGUGCACAAAGGAGAACUUUGCAAACAUAAGGUAAGGUUAUUAGUUAAUUAUUUUGGCAACCAAGAAUUCUUAUGUGGGCACACUUCUAAAAUCCACAUAUUGUAAUUCACAUAAUAAUCACAAUAAGACCUAGCUUUUCUUUAGUCCAAAGUGCCAAGAAUUAUGGAAAGUGCUUUGAUGAAUUAGCACACUUAAUGCUCUGCGCACACCUACAAAGUAGAUAUGAGUAAUCCUCAUUUUCCUUUUGAAAAAGCUAAGCGGUGCGGCUUUGAAUUUCAAAAAUCUAAUUUUCUGUCUGUUUGUUUUUUUUAACUUUCCUUUUUUGUAAAACUAUUAGGUUUGCCUGAAAACUGAAAAUAAAGUUGGAGUCUUGAGGGCUCCUUAAUUGAAUUUUUAUUGUUUUUCCAAUGUUCCAUAACUGUUUACCUCUGAAUGAAAAGGAGAUUGAGCAGGCAGAGGGAAGGGCUGCUCCUGCCUGACUUAUGUUGCCACCGGAAGAGACCCUGUCCUGCAAAUCGCACGGGUACCAGCUGCUCUGUAGUCGCUCAGACUGGAAAUGGAGUCAUCAUACUUGCCACAGAAGACUCUUUCACUUCUACAUGGAAGCUUACAGAGGAUAAGCAAUUUGCCUGAACGUCACAAAGAAUAAACGGUCAGCAAACUUUUGUUUUCCCAUUAUGGUAAACUAGACAUACUGAUUCUCCACUGAGCACAGAUACAACACCUGGAAAUACUAUGAAAGUGUCUGCUCCAAGGCACUAGAUUGUGAAUAAGAUGGCGAAGACUGGCCUGGACCGGAUGUGUAGGUGAGAGAAGACUGGUCAGGUUAACCCACAGUCCAGGACCACUUCUCCUAAAGUGGUCUGUUUGUUGAUCCUUAAGUGAGCAACAGAGAGGCUGAGAUGCUGAAAAACACUUUGGACAUCUUUCCAGGCCGAGAAACCUGGAUUUGAAGUCCUGACCCUUUGAUGGGGUGCUGUGCCCCAGAACUAAGUACUGAUAUUCAACAAGGCCCUGCAGGAGAUCCUUGACCCUUCAUAUCAUCCCAACUCCUGAAACUGAUCCUUGGGUGACACUGCUCCCAGCUUCCUGGCAGAAACAAAAUGAAAUCUUGUUGGAGAUAAUGCACUGGCUUAUUUGUUUUUUUGUAGUUUUCCAAAGAUAUUUGCUAUAUAAAAUGUUCAGCAAAAAAUAAAAAAGUCAUGAGACAAAUGAAAAGGACAAUGUGAACAAGGAAGAGCUAAAAAAUGGAAAAGAUAGCAGAAGCAGGGGCUCCGUAUGUUGGAGUUUGCUGAUGCAAAAUAAAAAUGACUUUAUAUUGUAUUCAGGAAGUUAAGAUGAGAUUGAGAAACUUGGCAAAUAAUUUUAAAAUAUGAAAAAAAUACAAACAGAAAUGAAAGAAUCAAAAAAAAAAUACAAAUUAAGAACCCACAGGGUGAAUUGAAAAGCAACUUGGAUACCACUGAGGAGUAUCUAAUGAGUAUCUAAUGUUCUAGGAGUAUCUAAUGUUCCCACCUAGAUGGGAACAAAAUACACAGAAUUAAAAAGAGAGAGAAAGGUGGAAAAGAUUCAGUAUAAAUGUAAUAAUCACAAAGGAUACACCAAGAAGGCUGAUAUGUGUGGCUUGGAGUCCCAGAAUGAAAGGAAAGAUGGAGUGGGGCACAAGAUAUAUUUGAAGACAUGAUAAUUGAAUAUGUCUCACCAUUUCAAGAAGAUUUAACAAAUCAUAAGGAUGAUAAACAAACAGAAAUUCUGGGCCAAAUCGCAUCAAACAUUAGUCAAUAAACCUUAGAAAAAUAAUGAGAAAAACAUGAAAGGCAGCCAGAGAAACAUCAACAGAUUUGACUUCACAGGAGCAAGAAUUAGAUUGACAUCUGAAUUGUCAACAGAAACACUGAGAACAGAAAAUUAUAGGUCAUUUGUACUCAGCAUAGAUGUACAAAUACUAAAUAAAAUAGCCCUAAGCUAGUCCAAUAGUAUCUUAAAAGUGUUCUGUAAUACACCCAUGUUGUAUUUAUCCCAGGAAUGAGAGAUUAUUUAAGAUUUAAAAAACAAUCAAUGUAACUUACUUUAUUUAUAGAUUAAAGGGAAAAAAAAAGUAACUUGAUUUUUCUCAUAAUCAAGUUGUAGGAAAAGUAUUUAAUAAAUUUUAAAAUAUAUGUGAAUAUAUUUAUAUAUAAAUGUUUAUGAAAUCUUAGGUUUCUAGAAAAAGAAGGGCAUUUCCUAAGUUUUUCUCCCCCCACACCCCUGCAAAA